CGGGCCUCGAUCCCGUAAUAUUUUAGUUAACAGCUAAA
rnacentral:tRNA from 1 species